UGUUGAGAGGCUGUUUGGUCUUCGGUCUCCAAAACCGAGGGUUGCAGGUUCGAGUCCUGUCACUCCU
rnacentral:tRNA from 1 species